rnacentral:rRNA from 1 species
GUCGAACGGAAUCUUCGGAUUCAGUGGCGGACGGGUGAGUAACGCGUGAGAAUCUGGCUUCAGGUCUGGGACAACAGUUGGAAACGACUGCUAAUACCGGAUGUGCCGAGAGGUGAAAGGCUUGCUGCCUGAAGAUGAGCUCGCGUCUGAUUAGCUAGUUGGUAGUGUAAGAGACUACCAAGGCGACGAUCAGUAGCUGGUCUGAGAGGAUGAUCAGCCACACUGGGACUGAGGCACGGCCCAGACUCCUACGGGAGGCAGCAGUGGGGAAUUUUCCGCAAUGGGCGAAAGCCUGACGGAGCAAUACCGCGUGAGGGAGGAAGGCUCUUGGGUUGUAAACCUCUUUUCUCAAGGAAUAGCAAAAUGAAGGUACUUGAGGAAUCAGCAUCGGCUAACUCCGUGCCAGCAGCCGCGGUAAUACGGAGGAUGCAAGCGUUAUCCGGAAUGAUUGGGCGUAAAGCGUCCGCAGGUGGCCCUGUAAGUCUGCUGUUAAAGAGUGAGGCUUAACCUCAUAAAAGCAGUGGAAACUACAGAGCUAGAGUGCGUUCGGGGCAGAAGGAAUUCCUGGUGUAGCGGUGAAAUGCGUAGAGAUCAGGAAGAACACCGGUGGCGAAGGCGAUCUGCUAGGCCGCAACUGACACUGAGGGACGAAAGCUAGGGGAGCGAAUGGGAUUAGAUACCCCAGUAGUCCUAGCCGUAAACGAUGGAUACUAG